AUUGAACGCUGGCGGCAUGCCUUACACAUGCAAGUCGAACGGUAACGCGGGGCAACCUGGCGACGAGUGGCGAACGGGUGAGUAAUGCAUCGGAACGUGCCCAGUAGUGGGGGAUAGCCCGGCGAAAGCCGGAUUAAUACCGCAUACGACCUACGGGUGAAAGCGGGGGAUCGCAAGACCUCGCGCUAUUCGAGCGGCCGAUGUCGGAUUAGGUAGUUGGUGGGGUAAAGGCCUACCAAGCCUACGAUCUGUAGCUGGUCUGAGAGGACGACCAGCCACACUGGGACUGAGACACGGCCCAGACUCCUACGGGAGGCAGCAGUGGGGAAUUUUGGACGAUGGGGGCAACCCUGAUCCAGCCAUGCCGCGUGCGGGAAGAAGGCCUUCGGGUUGUAAACCGCUUUUGUCGGGGAAGAAAUCCUCCGGGCUAAUACCCCGGGGGGAUGACGGUACCCGGAGAAUAAGCACCGGCUAACUACGUGCCAGCCGCCGCAGUAAUAC
rnacentral:rRNA from 1 species